UCCUAUCAGAAAUUCUACCAUUCAAAUAUAGAAGAAAUUGAGUUUGCUAAUAUAUCAGAGGAAGAAGAAAAAUAUAAAUAAGUGGAUAGAAGAAAGGACUAAAGGGGCAGCUAGGUGGUGCAGAGGAUAAAGCACCCGUCCUGAAGUUGGGAGGACCUAAGUUCAAAUCUGGCCUCAGAAACUUACUGUGUCCUAGCUGUGUGACCCUGAGUAAGAUUGUGGAACUGCUAGUUAAUGAUGCUAUUGAUUCACUGACUUCUCAGAUAGUGGUGAAUGCCAAAUCUAUUUCAAAGGAAAAUGGCAGAUGCAAUUUUACAAAUGCAGGACAACAGAUAUUCAAAAUCAGCAA